AACGAACGCUGGCGGCAGGCCUAACACAUGCAAGUCGAGCGAGGACUUCGGUCCUAGCGGCGGACGGGUGAGUAACGCGUGGGAACGUGCCCUUUGCUUCGGAAUAGCCCUGGGAAACUGGGAGUAAUACCGGAUGAGCCCUUUGGGGGAAAGAUUUAUCGGCGAAGGAUCGGCCCGCGUUGGAUUAGGUAGUUGGUGGGGUAAUGGCCUACCAAGCCGACGAUCCAUAGCUGGUUUGAGAGGAUGAUCAGCCACACUGGGACUGAGACACGGCCCAGACUCCUACGGGAGGCAGCAGUGGGGAAUCUUAGACAAUGGGGGAAACCCUGAUCUAGCCAUGCCGCGUGAGCGAUGAAGGCCUUAGGGUUGUAAAGCUCUUUCAGAUGGGAAGAUAAUGACGGUACCAGAAGAAGAAGCACCGGCUAACUCCGUG
rnacentral:rRNA from 1 species